rnacentral:rRNA from 1 species
UUCCGGUUGAUCCCGCCGGAGGCCACUGCUAUUGGAAUGCGAUUAAGCCAUGCGAGUCGAGAGGGUUCGGCCCUCGGCGCACUGCUCAGUAACACGUGGAUAAUCUUACCUGGGGUGGGGGAUAACCUCUGGGAAACUGAGAAUAAUACCCCAUAGGUAGGGAAGUGCUGGAAUGCCUCCCAACUUAAACGGGCUUUACCGCCCCAGGAUGAGUCUGCGGCCUAUCAGGUUUGUAGUGGGUGUAACGUACCUACUAGCCUUCGACGGGUACGGGCCUUGAGAGAGGUAGCCCGGAGAUGGAUUCUGAGACAUGAAUCCAGGCCCUACGGGGCGCAGCAGGCGCGAAAACUUCACAAUGCGGGAAACCGCGAUGAGGGGAUUCCAAGUGCGUGCGCGAAGCGUACGCUUUUCUUCAGUCUAGAUAGCUUGAGGAAUAAUGGGCUGGGUAAGACCGGUGCCAGCCGCCGCGGUAACACCGGCAGCCCGAGUGGUGGUCGAUUUUAUUGGGCCUAAAGCGUCCGUAGCCUGCUCGGUAAGUCCUUGGGUAAAUCAAACGGCUUAACCGUUUGACUUCUAGGGGUACUGCCGGGCUUGGGACUGGGAGAGGCUAGAGGUACUCACGGGGUAGGGGUAAAAUCCAGUAAUCCUGUGGGGACCACCAGUGGCGAAGGCGUCUAGCUAGAACGGCUCCGACGGUAAGGGACGAAGCCCAGGGGCACAAACCGGAUUAGAUACCCGGGUAGUCCUGGGUGUAAACGCUGCGGGCUUGGUGUUAGUGGUCCUGCUAGGGCGUUCAGUGCCGUAGAGAAGUUGUUAAGCCCGCCGCCUGGGGAGUACGGUCGCAAGGCUGAAACUUAAAGGAAUUGGCGGGGGAGCACUGCAACGGGUGGAGCGUGCGGUUUAAUUGGAGUCAACGCCGGA